UACAGAGGGUCCAAGCGUUGUCCGGAAUCACUGGGCGUAAAGGGCGCGUAGGCGGCCUGGUAAGUAGGGGGUGAAAGAUCAGGGCUUAACCCUGAACCCGCCUUCUAAACUGCCAGGCUCGAGCACAGUAGAGGCAGGUGGAAUUCCACGUGUAGCAGUGAAAUGCGUAGAGAUGUGGAGGAACACCGAUGGCGAAGGCAGCCCCCUGGGUCAACACUGACGCUCAUGCACGAAAGCGUGGGGAGCAAACAGG
rnacentral:rRNA from 1 species